rnacentral:tRNA from 1 species
GGGCCACACCCAUGGCAUAUGGAAGUUCUAGGCUAGGGGUCCAAUCAGAGCUAUAGCUGCCGGCCUAACCACAGUGACAUCAGAUCUGAGCCACAUCUGUGACCUACACCACAGCUCACGCCAAUGCCAGAUCCUUAACCCACUAAGCGAGGGCAGGGAUCAAACCCACAACCUCAUGGUUCCCAGUCGGAUUUGUUUUUGCUGCACCACGAUGGGAACUCCAGGAACUAAAUUUUAAAUUUUACUUAAGAUCACAUGUGACCAUUGGGUACUAUCCCUAACAGUAAAGAUUUAAAGAAAAUAAGAAACUUUCUACAGUUAACUACCUGUAUAAGUGAGUGAACACACCGAGGCAAUACCACUUUUUGAGAUGCUCACCUGGAUUGUGUUCAUUGAGGGUUGAUUAUUUCUCAACAUUUUCAAAAUCUGUUGAGACCACAUGGAACGCAAUUUCAAGAUAUUGUCACGUUGAAAGACUGGAUCUCAAACUCUGUCUCACUUACUCAUAAAUAUUAGCCAAGUAUGGGAAAAAUUAUUCUUAAAAUCUUAAUCACAAAUUAAUUUCCCUCAAAUCAAAGUUAAUAAUAAAAUUUCAGGGGAUUAUACUUUUUUCCCUUUCAAAGGAAGAAAAGCCACUUUAAAAAAGUAUUCAAAUAAGAGUUCCCGUCUUGGCUCAGUGGUUAAUGGAUCCAACUAGGAACAAUGAGGUUGCGGGUUUGAUCCCUGGACUCUCUCAGUGGGUUAAGGAUGCAGCGUUGCCAUGAGCUGUAGCAUAGGUUGCAGACGUGGCUCAGAUCCCGCAUUGCUGUGGCUGUGGCAUAGGCCAGCGGCUACAGCGCCAAUUAGACCCCUAGCCUGGGAACCUCCGUAUGCUUUGGGGAGAGGUCCUAGAAAAGGCAAAAAGACCAAAAAAAAUUAAAAAAAAAAAAUUUUUUUUAAAGAAUACAGGAGUUCCCUGGUGGCCUAGUGGUUAAGGACUCAGCAUUGUCACUGCUGUGGCUUGGGUUCAAUCCCUGGCCUGGGAACUUCUACAGGCCAUAGGCCGGGCCAAAAAAAAUUUUUUUUAAAUAUAAAAAGAUAGGAAGUUCUUAUUGUGGCUCAUGGUUAACGAACCCAACUAGUAUCCAAGAGGACAUGGGUUUGAUCACUGGCCUUGCUCAGUGGGUUAAGGAUCUGGUGUUGCUGUAAGCUAUGGUAUAGGCUGCAGAUGUGGCACAGAUCCCACAGUGCUGUGGCUGUGGUGUAGGCCGGCCACUGAAGCUCUGAUAGGACCCCUAGCCUGGGAACCUCCAUUUGCCUCAAGCAUGGCCCUAAAAAGACAAAAGACAGAAAAAAAAAAAAAAAAAAAAA